rnacentral:rRNA from 1 species
CAAUAGCGUAUAUUAAAGUUGUUGCAGUUAAAAAGCUCGUAGUUGGAUUUCUGGAUGGAGCGACCGGUCGGGCAUUAAUUUGUCUGCACUGGAGUCGGUUCCGUCCAUCCUCUUGGAAAGUGCGUGGGGCAUUAAGUUGUCUGGCGUAUGAUCCAAGUCGUUUACUGUGAAAAAAUUAGAGUGUUUAAAGCAGGCCUUCGCCUUGAAUACAUUAGCAUGGAAUAAUAAGAUAGGACUUUGGUCUAUUUUGUUGGUUUGCAGACCGAAGUAAUGAUUAAUAGGGAUAGUUGGGGGUAUUUAUAUUCCGAUGUCAGAGGUGAAAUUCUUAGAUUUUCGGAAGAUAAACUUAUGCGAAAGCAUUUACCAAGGAUGUUUUCAUUG